rnacentral:sRNA from 10 species
GAGUGUGUAGGAGGAAUCGAUUUAUUUCAGUGGAAACAAGGAAACACUUGAUUUAAUUCGAUUUUAAA